rnacentral:rRNA from 1 species
GACGAACGCUGGCGGCGUGCUUAACACAUGCAAGUCGAACGGAAAGGCCCUGCUUUUGUGGGGUGCUCGAGUGGCGAACGGGUGAGUAACACGUGAGUAACCUGCCCUUGACUUUGGGAUAACUUCAGGAAACUGGGGCUAAUACCGGAUAGGAGCUCCUGCUGCAUGGUGGGGGUUGGAAAGUUUCGGCGGUUGGGGAUGGACUCGCGGCUUAUCAGCUUGUUGGUGGGGUAGUGGCUUACCAAGGCUUUGACGGGUAGCCGGCCUGAGAGGGUGACCGGCCACAUUGGGACUGAGAUACGGCCCAGACUCCUACGGGAGGCAGCAGGGGGGAAUAUUGCACAAUGGGCGGAAGCCUGAUGCAGCAACGCCGCGUGCGGGAUGACGGCCUUCGGGUUGUAACCCGCUUUCGCCUGUGACGAAGCGUGAGUGACGGUAAUGGGUAAAGAAGCACCGGCUAACUACGUG